GACAGAGGAUGCAAGCGUUAUCCGGAAUUACUGGGCGUAAAGCGUGCGCAGGGCGGUUUUGUAAGUCUGACGUGAAAUCCCCCGGGCUCAACCUGGGAAUUGCGUUGGAGACUGCAAGGCUAGAAUCUGGCAGAGGGGGGUAGAAUUCCACGUGUAGCAGUGAAAUGCGUAGAGAUGUGGAGGAACACCGAUGGCGAAGGCAGCCCCCUGGGUCAAGAUUGACGCUCAUGCACGAAAGCGUGGGGAGCAAACAGG
rnacentral:rRNA from 1 species